GAAAUUUAUUUCGCAAACGGAUGAUAGGCUAAAUGCAGUUUAGGGCUUUGCUGCAGCCACUGAAAAGAGGAUUUUAGGUUGCCCAUUGUUGCUGACAUUACUAUUAGAUUCAACAAGCGGUUGACAAUUUAGGCGGCUGCUAAGUUCAUAUGCUACUUGAGUUUGAUGGAGACUGAAGAAUCCAACAGAUGUGCUACCCCCUGCCAAACUUUGAUAACUCAAGAUGAAGCUUUGGAUAAAUCUUUUCCACCACAUUGGUCUACUCCCAUACAGGUCUAACCAGUAUACUAGUUGAAUCAAGAUAU